UGUCGUAGCGGAAGGUCACGGUUCAAAUUUCACUGGUGGCAGAGUGGUUUUUUAUCGUGAUUGGAUGUCGGAUACCAGUCGGCUCAGCUGUGAGUACCUGAGUUAAAUCAGCGUAAUAAUAUCGGGCGAACGCAAUUCUGAACAAAUUGCCUCAUACAGUGUACUGUAGUGUACCGUUACCGUCUUGAAUAAAGUGCUCUAACAUACUUCAAAGCUCGAAUCCAAAAUGGAUUGUUGCGCCAAAGAUUAUUAUUAUUAUUACAGUGAAAACUCUCAUCGGCAGACACCGACCGUCGAGCAAUUUGUGUCCGCUCAAGAGGGGUGUCCGUCCAUAAGGAGGAAGAAUACAAUUUUUCGACACAAUUCUGUUGAGGGAGGAACACUUUUAUAACCAAAUGAAUACACUUUCUAAAGAUAUGACAAAAUUUUUAUUUCACUCUUUACCAGACAAAACUUAAACUCAAGAUUUAUUCAAUUUUUAUUUGCAUUACAUUUUUCAAAAAACUCGGAUAUUGUGGACUGACGUAACAUUUUAUGUUUUUCUCCUAAGAACAGUGUUUGAAUACGUCCCCUUAAAUUUUUUGAAUGCUCGAAAGCAAUAUAGUUGUUUUUACAAAAAAACCUUAAGGUUGAAAUUGUUUUCAAAGCAGCCUGACUUGACAGCACCUCUAAUGCUUCCUCAGACUGUUCAGUGUUGGAAUCCUCUUCAUCCAACAAGAUUUCGCUACUGGAACAGUUGAUCUCAAGCUCUGGAAGUAUUGAUCGGGACUCAGUGGCUAAUUCUUUAUCGAUAUCGAGGAAUUCUGUUGCGGCGGGAUAGCCCUGCCGGCUUUUUUAUUAAAAUGCCCAAUUAUGGGCAACCCCAAAUGCUCUGGAACGUGCAGCUUUCCCAAUCACGAGUGGUUUUUCUCUUUUUUCUGUUAAAUUAGCGCACAAUAAAAUUGUUAACCUUUCUUUCGACAAUUUUCCACCGUGACACUUAUCCGAUUUAAGAGCAAGUGUUAUAUUGGGUAAUGCUCUAAAGCAAGGAGAGGCAAAUUGUUCGGACAUAUACAAAAAAAAUCAUAAUCCGCCUAUUAGGAGUGUCCGCUAAGAGAGUUUUCAUUGUACUAUUGUCAUGUGGUUAUGAUGCAAGGUCUCGCUUAGUACUUCCCGGAUCUAAUAUUAUUUUUGACGUGAAUUGUAAAGAGCGCGAAAAAGGAGUCAAAAUGUACACACUUAAAGCGAGACAGGACUCAUUUUUGGAAACAAUCCAACACAAAAAUCCGAAGAAAUCAGGAAGGUGCGCUUAUAUGAAAUCUAGGCCUCAAAAUAUGUCCCAUUUCGAUAUCUGCUCAAAUAAACUUACUACCCCUCCAAUAAUCACACACUGAUCGUUAAAGGUAACAAAUUUUUGUAAAACUGUUAUAGCGUUAUGAACGUCGGAUAUUGUUCUUGGUUGACACUGCUCCUGAUGAUCUUGCUGGCCUUCGUUUUGUUCGUCACUGUUACGAUUGUUACUUUCAGCUUCUGCAAAAAUCUCUUCCUCAGUAGCUAAGGCGCACAAGGUAACAUUGGCAUCUAUCCCAAUAUAUUUUAUGAAUUACAUUCAAUCCUUGGUUCUGCAGCAGAAAAUCAGCACAACUAAGCAACCAAUUAAACUAGUGGUACGUUGUCAUCUUCAUCUGUAGGAGAUUGUAUACUCGUAAUUCUUGCUAGUGGAAUAUCAUCAUCGCCUCCGCUUGUGCUGGAGAGAGAUUUUUUAAAUCUGCGACACCAGUUGGGUAUAGUAGUCUGUUUGGCAUUGUCCCAAGCUUCCGAUAGCAUUAGAAUUGCAUGGUUUUCAAUAUUCUGAAGCCUUUGUAGUUUUGAAGUUUGCCUUUGAAGUUUUCUGUACUAUGUUUUUAAAGCUUUUAUCUCUUCUUGAUCUAUGGGCUGGAAAACAGUGGUGACAUUGGCCGGUAAAAACACCAGUUUUAUGCAUUUUAGAUUGGAGACUACAGGGUGAGCGGGACAGUUGUUUACUAGGAGAAGAAUUUUAUUUUCUCCAGAUUUCAAUUCUACAUCUCAGUUUCGCAGCCAUUUUUUGAAAAUAAAGCGAUGUCAUCCAGUGAAUGUUCUUAAAGCAACGUGGUUUCUUAGCUUUUCCUAUCACUAAAAGUUUUUUUUACACGAUCUAGUCUUGUUCGCAGCAACCAUACUGUAAUUCUUGUUUUAGACAACUUGCGAUCCUUGCAUUGCUCACCUUUGAAUUUAAGUGUCUUGUAAGGGAUUAAAUGAUAAAACAAUGCAGUUUCAUCUGCAUUAAAGAUUUCUUCUGGUUUGUAUCCUUUGCACAAAGCAGGCCACUUAUGAGAGAGCUACUCUUCAAUCACACCUUCAGGAACGCCAGCUGCUUCACCGCAAACUUUUCCUGCCACAAUAUUAUGACGAACAGGGAAACGUUAUACCCAAGACGACGAGCACUCGGAAUUUUCCUUCCCCAUAAGACGAGUGAAGUCGUUGGCUUUUUGUUGCAGGAUUGGACCACUUAUUGGGACGUUGUUUGUUCUCUGAUGUUUAAAUCAAUUUAAUGAAGCCUCCUCCAUAACUUUAUGUUCAGAUGUCCUCGAUCGUUUAAUUUUCAAAUAGUUGAUCUCGAAAAGAGCUUUUAUUUUAUCUCUAUUCUUCCAAAUCGUUAAUAUUGUAGAGUGUGAGACUCCACAUUCCUUUGCAAUUUCACUAUUUGACUCGCGACUCGUAAACUAUGCAAGGUCAAAUAAGGUAUACGAUUGAAAAUUGUUCGUAUUGUUUUAUUUUCCUGGAGCAAGUAAACGGUUGGGCUUUAUAGGUGAUGAAAAUCGGUAAAAUUUCGUCGUUUUAAGCGAUAUGUCACUGUAUCCGAUGUCAUUGUUGGCGGGAUGUUUACUUAUUAGUUUAUAUAGAAAUUUAGCCGGGAUCUUACCAUUCGGUUGUUAUAAUCGAUCUAUCAUUAUAUUCGGUUUCGACUGGGGAUGUUUCUGAUGCCUUCACUUAUUGACGCGCGAACGCUUCGUUGUUGUCGAAAUACUGAUCUCCAAGCGCUUCCUUGAGUGGUACAAAAAUAUAAAAAUCACAGGGUUUUAAGUCUAGACUAGGAUGGAUGUUCAAAUGCCUCCAAUCCAAAUAAUUUUUUUCCUCGAGAUGUAGCAAAAUGGCUCUUCUCAUCAUUCUUGUCUCUCUUUUAAGUUGAAAUGCCAAUUUUAUCGCACCCACAUAGCAUUUUGCAUUGAUUGUGGAUGGAUUGUGAAAGAAAUCAACGUGAAAACUACCUUGUCGUUAUUAACCUCUCAGCUAACAACCCCGUUUUAGCCUUCAUUGCUGUCUUCACUCCUUCGCUUGUUUGAUUCAUGGUUCGUCAUAUAUGACGAACAAAACAGGAAAUCGUCACUGUCUUGUUUGAAACUAUUUAGCAGUCAUUGUGAAACCUCUAAUCGAUAUUGCAUUUGUUUCUUCAAUAUCAGUCGUGGAAUCCAUCUGAUCGAUACUUUUCGAAUCCCUAAGCUAUUUAGGAUUGUACGUUGAACACUCCCGUAACUGAUGUUGAGUUUUUUUUGAGGAUUGAGUGUGUCUUAAGUCGGCAACCAGUUGAUGUGGGACCAGACCAAUUGGGAAGUAUUGGUCUGAACGAAUAUAAAAGGCGGAUUCCAUUUGGAUAUAAUUCGCGCUCAUGCCAUGUUUGUGAUUAUACAAAAAGGAGCGAUUAUCAUCUCUAGCCGCUUUUGGUCAGGCUGCUCCCAGGGGAGCGUCUGAUGACUUGCCUCUGCUCAGACGAAACUGUCAGUCACCUUUUUGAAUUUUUUAAUGUUGAGUUGCUUAACCAUUUUGGCAAUUUUUUUUUCAAACGAUUUCUGAGCAUUUUGACACUUUUGUCCUUGGGCAACAAUUGGGCUUUUGUUCUCUACUUUUCUUUUCCUCUAGAUAAUUCCUUUAUUCAAACACUUUAGUUCUACAGUUUUUCUUCUUUCUUCUGUUCUCGCAAGGACCGUGAAAUUUCGAUCGGAUUUAUUAAAGAUUUACUCCUGCCCUUGCUUGUUCGCUGUUUAUCGGGACAGACGAGAGAUGUUCAGAGAUUUAUUGAAUACUUUCUUGAACACUUUUGAAUAAUGGUGCAAAAUGUAUGUCCUUCUGGAACUUGAAAACAAAACCUGCUGAACAAUGAGAAUCACUUUCCUUGAGAAACUCAACUAACUAUUAGACUAGCACCGUCUUUAUAACUUUAAAUGCAACAUUUCGAGUUUAUAUUUAUUUCAAUAGGAUUCACCCCUUCCUUGGUUAACAUUUUUAUAAAGAUACUUUGCUCUACAAAAACAUACACCUCUUGCUCGGUUAUGGUUACAAUUGAUACUAAACAGAUCUAAGGGGAUUGAAGACGAGUUUAUUCCUCUCCGCUCCUUCCAGGUAAAAGACUCUUUUUGUCAUUUUUCAGAAAAUGGGUUCCGUUUUUAUUUAAUACAUCCUUGUGUAAUCUACAACAAUAAAGUUAGCGAUUAACAGUAAUUACUUCUAAUAGCUUCUAUUUUAGGUUCAGUUUUUGAAACUACGUUUGUUUAUCUACUCCUGCACUGCAGAUCCUAUGUGGUCCGUGACUGGCAAGCCAGUUAUUAUCAAAGACUUAUUAUUUCGUUUUUAUUCUAUUGUUCAUUGGGGUAAUACUCAUCAUUGACAGAACUAAUAUAACAAACUAUUUAUUAUUUAUGAUCUCAGAAACGAAUAACUACGAAAUAAUAUUCACAAACUAGUCGUUCACGGGGUAGAUCCUAUUUAGAACUAACUGCAACAGGCAUUUUCCUACUGUUAGGCGAUCAUAAGUUCCUCUUACUUUUCACUCGAUGUAGCAGCGCGGAAUAAGGAUGAAUCGAUUCAUCUCUGAUACUUCAUUCUGUUUUCAUGAAGUUUACAUAUGUAUACCUAUCUUAGAUUAGAUUUAAGUAAGAAUUUUCUGUUAUAAAAUACAUUUCCAUAAAUUAUUUGUAAGAUUAUCAUUCAAUAUUCCUACUCCGUAAUUAGACAACAAGCGAAAAUCAAACGUCAUGCAAGUUCGUGGAAUACACUAAACAUCCAGCGAAUGUUUAAGACUUAAGCGUAGGCCAUAGGAGCCGUUUUUUAAGCUACCGCCCUAACAUAAUCAUUGCGAAGCCAAGUUAAUUUUCUCUACAACUCCAGUUUUUGUGUUUCCUACUCUGCUCCUAAGCAUAUUCGUUUAUUGAUUAUUUUGUAGAUAAAUGUGUUAACUAUUAUUAUGACUUAAUCAUACUUUUAUUUACAAACUACAGUUACAAGAAAAGUUUAAAAACCAAAGACUUGAAAAUUGUACAUAUAGAGACUAGCAACUUACUUCUCCUCGAAAAUGCAUCAGAGAAAAAUGGAAAACUGCUGACAUAACCAAACAAGUAGAUAGAGCGAGACCGAAAAAAAAGAACAAAAUAUAAAAAUAUAAAUCAAAAAUAGAACCAAAACUGAUUUGUCUAAAACACUAUUUACUAUUCAAUGUCGAAGCAACUGAUAAAGUAUACUCGUCGCGAUGAGUUUCCUCACGUUAGUCUAAAGCAACUAAGAAACAAAUCUUUCAGAACAUAUUCACGCAAUUCAUGUAUUUUUGUUGAAUAGAAAUCAAUUUAUACAAGAGAAAACCCUUUUUUAUAGCUACACUAGUGCGUAUAUGAGUAAAACGAGAAACACGAUUAAAAAUAACGAGACUAAUAAAAUGUAAUAAUAUUAUUUUGUGGUAACAUUGCGGAACCAGGAUUACGUGAAUCAAUAAAGAAAUGAAACAGUGAGAGAAGAAUAAACUGCCAAGUAACGAUGAAUUAUUUAUUGAAAAAUCGAAACGAUUGAUGAUAAUAAAUUUGAGCGAGCUGAGCAGAAACAGACAAUGCAUAGAACAAGUUUUCAAAUGUAUAGAAAUAAAUGAUAUACAAGGAAUGAGAAAAGAGAAAUGGACAAAAUUUAAAAAAAAAAUUGAAAAUGGAAGGAUCAAAUAAACGUUUGAUAGAAAAUAUAAUAAAUUGAAACAAUACAGCAUGAAUUUUGUUGUGAAAUUUUUAAUAUUUUUUAUUUGCAUUGACCCGAAAAAAAAAUAUGAAAAAAUAUGAAUAGUAUACCAGCGCUUUUUCUUAAAAUCGUCCUGAUGAUUCACACGAUUGCGGUGCAGAUGGGAAAAGCAAAGGAAAAAAAAAAAUAAAAUAAAUAAAAUAAAACAAAAAAGAGAGAAGGAAAGAAAAGGAUCAGAGUUUAUUAAAUCAAAUGAAUGGAUAAAAUAAAGUGAGAUAUUUGUUUAUAA